GGGGAAUAUUGCACAAUGGGCGAAAGCCUGAUGCAGCAACGCCGCGUGAGCGAUGAAGGCCUUCGGGUCGUAAAGCUCUGUCCUAAGGGAAGAAUAAAUGACGGUACCUUAGGAGGAAGCCCCGGCUAACUACGUGCCAGCAGCCGCGGUAAUACGUAGGGGGCAAGCGUUAUCCGGAAUUAUUGGGCGUAAAGAGUGCGUAGGUGGAUUUACAAGCCUUGGGUGAAAGGCUACGGCUUAACCGUAGUAAGCCUUGGGAACUGUAAGUCUUGAGUGCAGGAGAGGAAAGCGGAAUUCCUAGUGUAGCGGUGAAAUGCGUAGAUAUUAGGAGGAACACCAGUGGCGAAGGCGGCUUUCUGGACUGUAACUGACACUGAGGCACGAAAGCGUGGGGAGCAAAC
rnacentral:rRNA from 1 species